UACGAAGGGGGCUAGCGUUGCUCGGAAUCACUGGGCGUAAAGGGCGCGUAGGCGGCGCAACAAGUCACUUGUGAAAUCUCCGGGCUUAACCCGGAGCGGCCAAGUGAUACUGUCGUGCUAGAGUGCGGAAGGGGCUACUGGAAUUCUCGGUGUAGCGGUGAAAUGCGUAGAUAUCAGGAGGAACACCGGUGGCGAAGGCGGUUCUCUGGGCAUGUCCUGACGCUGAGGAGCGAAAGUGUGGGGAGCGAACAGG
rnacentral:rRNA from 1 species